AUACGUUUAUUGAAAGCGUCGUUAAAUAAGAACCCUUUUGAGCCAACAAACCAAUGAUCAAGUUCAGCGAGAAUAAGACAAAAUACUGGAUACACAAAAAGAAGUGAUGUCUGCAUCUGCCACUCUGGGUAAAGACUGGAGACCUACACGAAUCUCAACAAAGCCUGAAGUACAUUCAUACAUAUACAGGAUAUUGAUUCUCCAAAGUGACAUGUAAGUAUCCAGAAAGAAGACAUGACAAAAGACCCCAUUUUUCUUCACAUUUCUACUCAUGCAUCCAUCUGCAUUCCUGAAAUCUGCCGUGGGACACCCAAUGUCUCACCAAACUUUGUAAGUGACUACUGGUAUGUGGUUCAAUGGGAAGGGUACAUGAUACAAAUGACAGAUUCUAAUCCUUUUUAUGGCUGAACAGUAUGCCACUGUGCAUGUAUGCCACAUUUAUUUCAUUUAUCAGAUGCAGGGAGCUAAAUCCCCAGCCCUAGAUGACGGACACCAUAUGACAACAUGGAU